rnacentral:tRNA from 1 species
GGAAAGUUACUCAAGCGGCUUAAGAGGGCGGAUUGCUAUCUCGCUAGACGUGUAAAAGCGUGCAAGGGUUCGAAUCCCUUACUUUCCU